rnacentral:miRNA from 1 species
AGAUUGCAGAAAAGCGUAAAAUAUGACUUCGGACCGCAAGAAAAAAAAUAAUCGCUUUUAUUUUUUUUCUUGCGGUCCAAAAUCGUAUUUUACGCUUUUCU